rnacentral:rRNA from 1 species
AUGCACGCUGGCGGCGUGCCUCAUACAUGCCAGUCGCGCGAACAGACGAGGAGCUUGCUCCUCUGACGUUAGCGGCGGACGGGUGAGUAACACGUGGAUAACCUACCUAUAAGACUGGGAUAACUUCGGGAAACCGGAGCUAAUACCGGAUAAUAUAUUGAACCGCAUGGUUCAAUAGUGAAAGACUGUUUUGCUGUCACUUAUAGAUGGAUCCGCGCCGCAUUAGCUAGUUGGUAAGGUAACGGCUUACCAAGGCAACGAUGCGUAGCCGACCUGAGAGGGUGAUCGGCCACACUGGAACUGAGACACGGUCCAGACUCCUACGGGAGGCAGCAGUAGGGAAUCUUCCGCAAUGGGCGAAAGCCUGACGGAGCAACGCCGCGUGAGUGAUGAAGGUCUUCGGAUCGUAAAACUCUGUUAUUAGGGAAGAACAAAUGUGUAAGUAACUAUGCACGUCUUGACGGUACCUAAUCAGAAAGCCACGGCUAACUACGUG